AUGCUUUUACACUAGUCGUUGAAUGGCAAACAUUCUCAUCAACCUAUAAAGAAAAGAGAAUAUAUAAGAAAAUGAAAAGAUGAAUAAGUCAUGAGGAAAAUUCAUCAUAAUCUACAACAUAAACCAAGAAACACAAGUGAAGGAGAAGCAGAUAAAUCCACACUCUCACAGUUGAAUCCAAAAGUUUCAGGAAAACCGGGUGUCACUCCAGUCCAUCCCAAAAGUCAAGUACACAUGUUAUAAACAGUACAAAAUCACAAGUAUGUCACAAAUAAUUGAACAGAACCGGACAAUGUUGCCCAUAAACCACAAUCUCAACUUACAUGCUAGAUUCACAAAACGAGAUCUCANNN
rnacentral:lncRNA from 1 species